UUUUUCUUCUUUUAUGCAAAUCAACCUAGUCCUGGGUGGCAUUGGAAAAACCGAUUUACAGCCGAUGAUUCUAAUUGGAGAGAUGGCCACGACGUCGUUUCAUCCUUUUACGCCAUAUUUUAACUCUAAAACUCUUACCUCCAUGAAAAACCCUAAACUACCCUUACCUGAGAUUCUAAGAAAAGAAAAAGGAAGCAGAGAGACCACCAUGGGUCGUAUGCACGGCAGCGGGUUGUCUUCUACUUCUUCCUCAACCCCCUCCUCACUAUCUCUUCGUAUAGUAACACUGCUCUUUCUCGUGUUUUUUGUUUUUUUUUUUUUUUUUCUAAUAUUUUUUUUGCAGUAAGGUAUUUCCGCUUCAGUAUUGCCUUACAAGAGAACCCCACCAGCUUGGUGCAAGGCCACCCCCUCGGAUCGUUCAGGCAGAGGAUCUAAUCUGCAAGUUGGCGAAGAGGGGUUCAACGCCGUCGAACAUUUGUAUAUCAGCUUGUUUUCCUUUAUUCUUUGUGGACAACUUGUGAAAACUCUUUUAUUGGGGAAGUUAUAGAGUUUGAUUUGGCUGAGUUCUUUUGAAACUGUCUAGAUUAUUUUGUAUUGAGUUCAAAAUGGAAGUGAUAGACAAAUCUUGAAAUUCUUUAAUCUAUGAAUAAGAAACAGUAUGACAGAUCGACUCUUGUAGUUCUCUUGAUGGUGUAACUGAAACAAUACUUUGAAAUCAUUUUCCCUCUUACAAUAUCAGAGAAAAAGAAAUGGUUGGGGGAAGAGAGUUUCUACUGCCCAUAGAGUAGAAGGGAGGGAGGAAAUUAAUGGAUAUGUGAAAUGGAGGAGGCCUAUGGAGCUUUGCAUUUGUGCAUUGAGUCAAAUACUGCAAGCAUUCAGGUUGCAUAGGGAAAUACUGGAUCAUUUGGAAAAGGUUUACACGACUGGCUGAAGCACAGGACCCAUGUAAAAGUUACUAAAAUAUGUAGCUUUAUGGGAAUCUUUUGUGGUAAAUGAAAUAGUUCUUUGUGCCAAGUUUUUGUGGAUUGGCAUAGAAAACAAAUGUUUUUGUUUUGGUAACCAAUGUGUGGUAUUAUUUCCUACCUUACCUGUUGGAGUAAUUACAGUCUAAUCUACACUUGUAUGUGGUGUUGGCCUGUA